AAGUUAUUACCGCAAACUUCUUACGGGAGAAAGCAGGGGACUUUCGGCCCUUGCGUUAUCAGAUGAGCUUAGUUCGGAUAAGCUAGUUGUGAGGUAAUGGCUCACCAAGGCGACGAUCCGUAACUGGUCUGAGAGGAUGAUCAGUCACACUGGAACUGAGACACGGUCCAGACUCCUACGGGAGGCAGCAGUGGGGAAUAUUGGACAAUGGGCGAAAGCCUGAUCCAGCCAUGCCGCGUGUGUGAAGAAGGUCUUCGGAUUGUAAAGCACUUUAAGUUGGGAGGAAGGGCAUUAACCUCUAUACGUUAGUGUUUUGACGUUACGGACAG
rnacentral:rRNA from 1 species